CUCUGAAUCCGCCGCACCUGGCAUCUUCCCUAGUAAGUCACUUACAGGACUGCUCUUGUCUCAGUGACCGCUUCUGGGAGGACUCAGACUGACAGAGCAGCUAUUACUACCUCUCUGAACUUCUAGAAGAUUUACCUGCCUACGAAUGAAAGCGGGUGCUUAUUUCUGUCUGUGCUGGUUGAACCUUCAUAGAAAUAGCAUACCAAGUGAGAAAAGAAAUGUCCAUGAAGAAACUGGAUAUGCCCUGGCCAGUAGCCAUCCA